rnacentral:lncRNA from 1 species
CAGCGUCGAAAAUAAUAUCGACUUUUUUUUUUUUUUUUUAAUUAAAAUUCAUCUUUUCUAAAAAUUUACUAGGUUACAAAAGAAUUUUCUUUCUUUAAUCGGUAUUCUACUUGGAAGAGUCUUCCCAUCUACGCCAGCCAACAGUUAAAAGCAUUUCCAGGCAGUGCAAAGAGGUAACUUAAAUCUUACGCCUCGCAGCUAUCAACGAACGAAAAGAGAAAAGUAAUAGAAGGGGUAAAAAGAAAAAAAGUGCUUCCCUCGUUCGACAUUCCCUUCGGCAGAACCGUCAUAAAGUGGACCUCGUUCUCUCCCCCACAGUCGACACAAUGUGAUCGUUCCCCGAGGAUGAGCCGUCCUCUGCAUCGUCAUACAACCCCGCGUUUUGUGUAAUGUGAAUCGAUAUGCAAAUGACGGCUCCUGCCAUUUAUUACAAAAGAAAUAGUUUUUAUGUACACCAUUCCGAUGCGGCGCAGCUGAAGUCCAUGCAAAAUUCCGGCUGAUAAGCAACCGCCCAGCAGCAGAUCUGGUAAGAAAAGAAGGGGAAAAAACUACAGAAGAGGUUUCGAUCAGCGUCUGUGUGUCUGAAGAAAUGACGUCUUGGUGAAAAACAGCCGAUACACAAGGAGGAUCUUAUUUCCUGUUCCGCUUCAAAAGUCUUCUUUCUUUCUUCUAUUGGCACGCAUACGUGAGUUGCAGAAGAAAACUUUUGCAACAGCAGUAAUGACUGUCUGGACGAGUUGAAAUGAUGGGCGAUUUAGUUAGGAAACGUUCGGUCGAAAUGAUUGGAGGCCAACCAGUGUGUUGCAAGCCUUCUCUAACUUACCGUAAAUAUAACAUCGCAAUCUUUAAACAAGAAAAAAACACAAAACGGAAAAAAGAAAAAAAAAUGCUAUUUUGCUUUUGCCAAUUUCAAGUUUUGGCAGGACGAACCGAGAUUAGCUUCUUAGGGAUCGUAACGUUACCGGCUUUCCAGAGAUACCACAAUGAGGUUUGUGUGUUGUUAAAAAUCUAAGAAAUGUAUCUGUGGUGUCCUCCUAAAUAUAACCCGAUAAAGUAGUCAAGGAAAAAAAAAAUAAAAGUUUGACGAUUAAAAUAGAAGGUCAUAAGAGUGGUACUCGAGCCACUCUCUCUCUCCCAUCGCAACUAUGUAAACAACGUAUAGUGACAUUUCAAAGAAUGGAACUAUGUUUUACUGAGAAUAUCCUUUUCGAUUCAGCGUAAUUCUUCAUGUCACAAACAGCUCGCAGGACAAGUAGGCAGAUGUGCGCACAAUACAAGGAGGUUUGGACACGACUGCGCAGAAAUUUCUACCCGGGGAGAGAGUAGGAGUUUUUUGUCAUAUGUGCGUGUGUAUACAGCAGUACAGACGUCGUCAACCCUUUGGUAACCGGGACUGAAGAUCGAUCCAUCGCUGGCUGGCUGCGUGACCUGCUCUUCGUUUCAAAUCCGUCUUUCCUCUGCACUAUUUAAUUUGGACGGGGAGUGGUUAUACUUCUGUACCAUUACUUUACUAAAUUUUUUUUUCUUCUUUCUACUUUUAUGUUUAACGAGAUCCGGUAAACUUCUACCACAAACUCCUACAAUUGCCGUUCUUAAUACUUAUUAACUAGAAGUUGUUAUUUAAAAAACACCGCC